GACGAACGCUGGCGGCGUGCUUAACACAUGCAAGUCGAACGGACAGGCCCUGCUUUUGUGGAGUGCUCGAGUGGCGAACGGGUGAGUAACACGUGUGUAACCUGCCCUUGACUUUGGGAUAACUUCAGGAAACUGGGGCUAAUACCGGAUAGGAGCUCCUGCUGCAUGGUGGGGGUUGGAAAGUUUCGGCGGUUGGGGAUGGACUCGCGGCUUAUCAGCUUGUUGGUGGGGUAGUGGCUUACCAAGGCUUUGACGGGUAGCCGGCCUGGGAGGGUGACCGGCCACAUCGGGACUGAGAUGCGGCCCAGACUCCUACGGGAGGCAGCAGUGGGGAAUAGUGCACAAGGGGCGGAAGCCUGAUGCAGCACCGCCGCGUGGGGGAUGAGGGGCUUCGGGUUGGAAAGCGCAUCCGCCUGUGACGAGGCGAGAGUGACGGUAACGGGUAAAGAAGCACCGGCUAACUACGUG
rnacentral:rRNA from 1 species